GCGCUUUGGCUGAAGGAUUCCCUCCGGAGUCUGUACAUAGCCCUCGUGAGUGCAUGUACCUACUGCGUGCAUGUGCAAGUUUCUAGAGCGAGUGUCGUGUGAUUGUCAGGAUUGAGUGACUGGGAUGACUGAGUGAACUGAUACCAUGAGAGCAUGCAAAUUAUUUUAUCACUGAGUUGCAUCGUAUAUGGCAUGCACACUUGACAUA
rnacentral:lncRNA from 1 species